UACGGAGGGUGCAAGCGUUAUCCGGAUUUAUUGGGUUUAAAGGGUCCGUAGGCGGUUAAAUAAGUCAGUGGUGAAAUCCUACAGCUCAACUGUAGAACUGCCAUUGAUACUGUUUAACUAGAAUUAUUGUGAAGUAGCUAGAAUGUGUAGUGUAGCGGUGAAAUGCAUAGAUAUUACGCAGAAUACCAAUUGCGAAGGCAGGUUACUAACAAUAUAUUGACGCUGAUGGACGAAAGCGUGGGGAGCGAAC
rnacentral:rRNA from 1 species